rnacentral:lncRNA from 1 species
CGUUGGUCCAUUUAGCUUCACUCUUUCUCUUUAAAAGCAAUGGACUGAGGACUGCCAGGCAAAACACUUGGCUUGGCUCCUCCACCUUCACAUGACAGACUGGACUAUCUGCAACAUUAAAUCCAACACCUGUCCAGUCAUUUGGACUAUUUAAACGACUGUCACAGUGGUGUUCAGUGAGCUGGAUUGACCCACAUCUCCCAAGUGUUUCUCCACACCAUCAAAGCUGUUCUGCUCGGUUCAAAGCUAACCAAGUACGAUGAAAGUUUUGAUUUCUACCGGACCGCCUGGCUGUAAAGGUCGGCUCCAGGGGUUUGGCGACAGAGAAGCACAGAAGCGAACGAGGCCUUGGCUCUGCCGCUUCGACCGACGCACCCCGCAGCCGCUGCCGUGGUUGGACUACCCACCGACAACAGGACACCCAGGAUAAGAGCGUGCGGUCGGGGCCUUGGACAUCGAGGGCAUGCAGUUGGACAAACUUGGACAAAGGAGGCUGAAAUCCUGACUCUGCAUUUACGAGUGAAAUUAACUGCUAAUCAGAAGCAGUGUUGGCUCACUGUUUCCUGGCAUGU